rnacentral:rRNA from 1 species
AUGUUUGGAGAUAUCACAACUGAUGGUACUGACCAUUGGAAUCCCUCUUCUGGCAUACCUCCCUCCUCUAGCGCAGCAGUGAAAGAAUCCAUCAAUGUUGAUGAGAUCGAGGAUCUUGAUUUGGAGGAUACGGAAGAACAAGCAUCUCAGGCAACACCUAGUUCAUCUAAAGUGAGGCUUGGAAUCAUCAUUCCAAAGAAGAACAAGAAACCCAAGACCACACAAGUGAUGUGUGAGCAAGUUACAAGGAUUAGUGACAUUGCCGAGGCUUCCCAUUCAUCAUUUCAGUCUUCCCUAGAGCAAGAUGAGGCAAACUGUGUCACCUCGGUCAUGGAUGAAGUCAUUGCUUGUGGUGCAGCAGUUGAUACCGAUGAGUUCUUCAUGGAUAGCAAGUUGUUUGUGAAGAGGGCGCAAAGGGAGAUGUUUCUUCACAUGCCUCCUGACUCUCAAAAGGGUUGGUUGCAUAGGAAGUAUGACUUGAAGUAUGGGAAGUGGUUACUUCACAUUCCAUCUAUGUGUGAUGGUCGAUUAUCCUUUUGCUACCAAAACUAUUUGUUUCUUUUAUAUCGAACCUACUUCUUAAAGUAUGUGAACUACUUGAUACCAUUCCAUCUAUUUAUGUAA